AUUGAACGCUGGCGGCAGGCCUAACACAUGCAAGUCGAGCGAGCGGCGGACGGGUGUGUAAUGUAUGGGGACUGCCCGAUAGAGGGGGAUAACUACUGGAAACGGUAGCUAAUACCGCAUACUAUCGGAUAACCCAUAUGGGAUUAGCUAGUGGGUGGGGUAAUGGCUCACCUGGGCGACGAUCCCUAGCUGGUCUGAGAGGUUGAUCAGCCACGCUGGGACUGAGACACGGCCCAGACUCCUACGGAGGCAGCAGGGGGGAAUAUUGCACAAUGGGCGCAAGCCGGAUGCAGCCACGCCGCGUGUAUGAAGAAGGCCCUAGGGUUGUAAAGUACUUUCAGGCGGGAGGCGUUACCGCCAGAAGAAGCACCGGCUAACUCCGUGCCAGCCGCGUAAUUC
rnacentral:rRNA from 1 species